rnacentral:tRNA from 1 species
GGGGUGGUAGCUCAAUUUGGGAGAGCGCCUCGGUCGCAUCGAGGAGGUUGCCGGUUCGAUCCCGGUCCACUCCA